rnacentral:rRNA from 1 species
UACGUAGGUGGCAAGCGUUGUCCGGAUUUAUUGGGUUUAAAGGGUGCGUAGGCGGUCCCAUAAGUCAGUGGUGAAAUACUCUAGCUUAACUAGAGGGGUGCCAUUGAUACUGCGGGACUUGAGUGGAGUUGAAGUGGGCGGAAUUGACGGUGUAGCGGUGAAAUGCUUAGAGAUCCGGAGGAACCCCAGAGGCGAAGGCGGCCCCCUGGCUCGUACCUGACGCUCAGCCACGAAAGCAUGGGGAGCGAACGGG